rnacentral:rRNA from 1 species
CGAUGAUCUCCCGCUUGCGGGGGUGAUUAGUGGCGAACGGGUGAGUAAUACGUGAGUAACCUGCCCUUGACUCUGGGAUAAGCCUGGGAAACCGGGUCUAAUACUGGAUACUACUUCCUGCCGCAUGGUGGGGGGUGGAAAGGGUUUUACUGGUUUUGGAUGGGCUCACGGCCUAUCAGCUUGUUGGUGGGGUAAUGGCUCACCAAGGCGACGACGGGUAGCCGGCCUGAGAGGGUGACCGGCCACACUGGGACUGAGACACGGCCCAGACUCCUACGGGAGGCAGCAGUGGGGAAUAUUGCACAAUGGGCGGAAGCCUGAUGCAGCGACGCCGCGUGAGGGAUGACGGCCUUCGGGUUGUAAACCUCUUUCAGCAGGGAAGAAGCCACAAGUGACGGUACCUGCAGAAGAAGCGCCGGCUAACUACGUGCCAGCAGCCGCGGUAAUACGUAGGGCGCAAGCGUUGUCCGGAAUUAUUGGGCGUAAAGAGCUCGUAGGCGGUUUGUCGCGUCUGCUGUGAAAGCCCGGGGCUCAACCCCGGGUCUGCAGUGGGUACGGGCAGACUAGAGUGCAGUAGGGGAGACUGGAAUUCCUGGUGUAGCGGUGAAAUGCGCAGAUAUCAGGAGGAACACCGAUGGCGAAGGCAGGUCUCUGGGCUGUUACUGACGCUGAGGAGCGAAAGCAUGGGGAGCGAACAGGAUUAGAUACCCUGGUAGUCCAUGCCGUAAACGUUGGGCACUAGGUGUGGGGGACAUUCCACGUUCUCCGCGCCGUAGCUAACGCAUUAAGUGCCCCGCCUGGGGAGUAC